rnacentral:rRNA from 1 species
GACGAACGCUGGCGGCGUGCUUAACACAUGCAAGUCGAGCGGAAAGGCUCCUUCGGGGGUACUCGAGCGGCGAACGGGUGAGUAACACGUGAGUAAUAUGCCCUGCGCUCUGGGAUAGCCACCGGAAACGGUGAUUAAUACCGGAUAUGACCGCUACACGCAUGUGUUGGUGGUGGAAAGUUUUUCGGCGCAGGAUGUGCUCGCGGCCUAUCAGCUUGUUGGUGAGGUAAUGGCUCACCAAGGCUUUGACGGGUAGCCGGCCUGAGAGGGUGACCGGUCACACUGGGACUGAGACACGGCCCAGACUCCUACGGGAGGCAGCAGUGGGGAAUAUUGGACAAUGGGCGGAAGCCUGAUCCAGCAACGCCGCGUGAGGGAUGACGGCCUUCGGGUUGUAAACCUCUUUCAGUACCGACGAAGCGAAAGUGACGGCAGGUACAGAAGAAGGACCGGCCAACUACGUGCCAGCCGCCGCGGUAACAC